GAAAACGGACCUGAUACCAAUUUGCCAUUUGUUUGUCUCGAGCUGCAUUUAGUACGACUGCGUAAGGUCGUGUUCACUUCCGGUAAGUCAACGUCCAUAUCCGGUGUGCCAGCUGGUCAGAUUGUCAAAGGUUUUUACCAGAUUGUGAUCAAUUUGAAGUUUUUUACCGAUCGAUAAUCUCUCAGAGAUCAGAAUGGUGGAGUAUGGAUCCGGACCUGUCAAAGAGAGCAUCGAUAAUGCGGUUUUUAUCGUCCCUGGACUAAUAAUAGGGUCUUUAUUCCUUUUCUUUGCUUACAAGCUGGUAUCCAGUCUAAAAGAAAAGGAAAGACAGAAAGAUGAAAAGAAAAAGAUGAAACUUCAAAGGAAAGAAAAAGAGACAAAGAAGAAGAAGAAAUGAAAACAAAUGAAUUAGAAAUCUUCAUUAAAAGAAAUUGUGAGAAUGCUGUAUGGGAGCCACGGCAGCUAAAGUCUGUUUCAAUUUCCAGUAACAUAAAGGAAAGGAUGUGCCGUCUUUUGCAUAUUUGCAAAUCUUCAUAUGUACUUGUUUGCAAAUAUGGAAGAGAAAAGAUUCUAAAGACUGUUUCAUAUUUAUAUUUCAUCAUAUCUGGAUGGAUGAAGAGAGAAAAAGUUAAUUUGCUUCUAUAGUCCAUUUCAUAUUUUAUGUUUCAUUAAUUCAGGUUGGAUGUUGAGAAGAUGGAUGUGUUCACUUUGAUGAUACUGGUUCAGUGUGUUUUAUGAUAUUUUACUUUAUAAUCCUAACUGGAGCUGAAUGUUUUAACUUUAUUGGUCCUUACGAUGACAUUUGGACUGAUUAUUUCAUCAGGACAAUUAUUUCUUGUAUUGUCAAAUAUUCAGGUUUUAACAGUUCCUACUGUUUUCUGUAGAAACAGCUAUGAAUUCCACUAAGUUGAUCAUCACAUCAAAAGAUUUGUCGACAACCGCAUACCCUGGUAAUCAAACUGUUAACCUUUGUAAUAAAUACUGUAACCACAGCUGACACCAGCCUGGAAGUCAUCAUCCUCUGAUUAUCUACAGUGUAGAUGUAAUUUGGAAUCAACUUUUCGGGACCAUUGAAAUAAAAUGGAUUGUAAGCCUCUGGUAUUUUAUGGAAAGACACUGGUACUGCACGCAGCAUAAAGCUGAGUAAUAAGUCCAACUACAAACUUUGAGAAAAAAAAUGAUUUGAGUAGUCUGAACUAUUUGUGAAAAGAAUUUAUUUGAAAUAAGCCGGUUCUGUAAGUGAGCUUGUACAUUAAGAAAGAUCCAUUGUUAAUACAUGUACAGCUACCAAAACCAUGUCAUAGUUAUCCAAAACCAGUGUUCAAGCAUGAUAAGGCUUGUCAGUGAAAAAUCUUAAACUUUAACGAUAUUGAAUAAUACAAAUAAAUUGAGCAGAGAUGAAGUUAUUAUUUAGUGACAAGUAGAUUAUUGUCACGCUACCGAUAUUACUCGUUACUUCUCCUACCUUUUGUAAUUUAUAUUGUGUAUAAUUGUGAUUGGUACUGUAUGAAUGAUGAUGAGAUUUAAUCUGAAGGUAUUUUUUUUAUUGAUUUUUAAGGAUGACCCCGGUAGGAAAAAUUUAUUCCCACAAGUUUACCAUGGUGAAUAUUUUUUUUCUCUAAGUUUCUAUUUUGAAAUCACUGACAUUUAGGGAGAAAAAGAUCUCAUCGAUUCGGAAUUAGUGACAGAAAUGCAUCACUUUACAAUCUAGGAUAAGAUUAUAUGUAAAGAAAUCAGAUAUGGGACCAACAUUUGUAUUUCUAACUGGUUGUGCUAAAUUGAUUCAUCUUACUUACAAGGAUUUGAUUUCAACUAUAUAUAUAUUUUUCAUCUUCCAUAUAUUUUUCAUAGAAAAACUGUUUGGAGUUGGAAACAUGACAUUUCAUUUUUUUUUUUUUAUUUCACAAAGGUUUUAGAAUAAAAAAAAAUGAACUCUUGUCAUAUUCCUAUUUAUAUAUAAUAUACCGGUAGGUCGUUGAUAUCAGAAUCAUGAUUUGAUUUUAAAUUUCAUGUCGUUUGUUUAGACACAUUUUUGCAUUUUUUGCAAUAUUGUGAACAUAUUUUUAGCAGUUAAUAUAUAUACUAUGUUUCUGUCCUUGUGGAAAUCUGUUUUAAAUAUUAUAUUGUAAUUAAAACCUGUUUUACUAUUUUUGGUAGAACUUUUUUUAAUCUCCUUUUUACCAUUAUUUAUUGUGCAAUUAUAAAUGUUUACAUUUGGUUAUGGUUGAAUGAUUUGCAGCUGUAUAUCUGUUGUGUAACUGGGACAAUUAUCCUCUGUGAUCAGCUCUGUUUCAAAAAGUAACAAGGAUUCAUACCAUUAAGAUACAGUUCACUUUUGGUUAAUCAGCCAACAGAUUUUCAGUGGCGAACCUAAGAACCAGACCUCGACAUUGGCAUCUACAAUAUUCGGAACAUUUAUGAUAUAAUUUUUUUUUUUGUUUUUUUUUUGAUAAAGUUGAAGGAUAAGUAUGGAUAGAAAUGGUAAUUAUAAUAUUUAGGUAAAUACCUACAUUCAGAAUUAAAAAUAAAUAAAUUAAUGCAUGCAUAAAAUUUGCAAAAAUCAAAUUUCUAAAAAAAAAUGUAUAACCAGAAAGACCGGACCUUGGAUUGCCAUCAUUUCCACAACUUAUCCCAUAGUUUGUAUAUCUCUUAUGUACGAAGUUAUCAUAACAGUGCAUGAUACAAAUGUAGGCUGUAGGUGUUGACAAUUAAGUUAAUUAUGUCUGGUUGAGAUAUUCUGCAUAAAUUCUAUAACUGAUAAUGGGUGUAUAAUUAUCGCUGACAUUAAUGAGAUUAUGUAUAUAAUACAUCAUUUCUCAUAGCUACUACAUCUCCAUUUGAAGUUUUAAAUUAAAAGUAAAUUAAUUAUCAACUGCAUCACAAAGACAUUUGAUCAUAUUCACACUCUAUAUAGAUGUAGUUUUAAUUUUCAAUCAUAUUAUAUACAGUAGAUGAUCAUUUUAGGAAUGCCGUUGUUAAUUUUUGUUUGUUGGUGUUAAAAACUACGUUUAAUAGAAAAAGUGGGAUUAGUUUAUUAAUCCUCUUGUAAUAUUAUCUUUUAAACUUAUAUUAAUAAAAUUUAGGUUUGAAAUAAAUUGAUCACAUUUCAUCAAGAGAAUAUUGGAGUAUGUUCCUUAUUUAGGCUAUUGUAUCAGUUUAUUAAGGAGUUGAAUUGGAGAAUGUAAGAAACCGAGUACGAGAUAUGUAUGUGCCAUGUCAUUAAAAAUCAAACAGAAAUCUA